rnacentral:rRNA from 1 species
AUACGUAGGGUGCGAGCGUUGUCCGGAAUUACUGGGCGUAAAGAGCUCGUAGGUGGUUUGUCGCGUCGUCUGUGAAAUUCCGGGGCUUAACUCCGGGCGUGCAGGCGAUACGGGCAUAACUUGAGUACUGUAGGGGAGACUGGAAUUCAUGGUUUAGCGGUGAAAUGCGCAGAUAUCAGGAGGAACACCGGUGGCGAAGGCGGGUCUCUGGGCAGUAACUGACGCUGAGGAGCGAAAGCAUGGGUAGCGAACAGGAUUAGAUACCCUGGUAGUCCGUGCCGUAAACGGUGGGCGCUAGGUGUAGGGGUCUUCCACGACUUCUGUGCCGUAGCUAACGCAUUAAGCGCCCCGCCUGGGGAGUACGGCCGCAAGGCUAAAACUCAAAUGAAUUGACGGGG